rnacentral:rRNA from 1 species
UGGGGAAUCUUGCGCAAUGGGCGAAAGCCUGACGCAGCCAUGCCGCGUGAAUGAUAAAGGUCUUAGGAUUGUAAAAUUCUUUCACCGGGGACGAUAAUGACGGUACCCGGAGAAGAAGCCCCGGCUAACUUCGUGCCAGCAGCCGCGGUAAUACGAAGGGGGCUAGCGUUGCUCGGAAUUACUGGGCGUAAAGGGAGCGUAGGCGGACAUUUAAGUCAGGGGUGAAAUCCCGGGGCUCAACCUCGGAAUUGCCUUUGAUACUGGGUGUCUUGAGUGUGAGAGAGGUAUGUGGAACUCCGAGUGUAGAGGUGAAAUUCGUAGAUAUUCGGAAGAACACCAUUUGCUCCUUCUCCCUACUCUCUCAUUACUGCCGCUGAGGCUCCACAGCGUGGGGAGCAAACA